AAAUGCUGGGAUUACAGGCAUGAGCCACCGCGGUCGACCAUGACCUGGACAUGUUUGUGCCCAGUACUGU
rfam:Gorilla gorilla gorilla genomic chromosome, chr12, whole genome shotgun sequence